GAGAGAGAGAGAGAGAGAGAGAGAGCGAGAGAGAGCGAGCGCCGGGAGAGGAGCUGUUCAUAUUUCACUGCUUGCCGAGAAACGACCAUUUACAUGUUGGAUUCUGAAUCAUUUUAAAGAAAAAGACUCGACUCCCGACGGAAUUGAACUCUUUCUCGUUUUGAGCCGACCUCCAAAGAUCAACCACGAUUCGAAACCACAGACGUGUCCUGCAGCCAUGAGGAGCAGUGGAGAUCGCUAAGAAGUGUACGUAUUGAAGUAUUUAUAGUAAAUGUCAUGGUAAUGAAGGAGAAGAGCUGUUCAGUCCGUACAGUCUGUUUGUGUGUGUGUGAUUGUUGCAGUCAAAAAAGCUUGCUUUUGUGUUUCUCUCUUUUUUUUCUUUUUUUUUUUUCUUUGUUUGUUUGUUUUUUUUUUUAAUUUGCGACACAACUUGUGGAGUUUUUGUGCAUGCUUUUUUAAAAUAUUUUUAUUUUUUUUUGUAGAAAACCUCAUGAAUUUUGCACGAUCGUCAGCAGUGACGUUUGUUGGUAAAUGAGACGUUUUAACUGUGCUCGUGUUCGACACGUGAAUCGAAGACCGCUUCGGUCGCAUGUCGUGAUGACGUCACAUGGCGCGUCUUGCAAGCUCCUCCGAAUAUCGCAGAGUUUGCUUGUAUUGUGCGUUAAUUCGGUUGUUCAGUCAUUUCUCCUGCUGAUAGAUGAAUUAAUGUGUUACUUAGACGUUAUAUGUCUAUACAUUUAAACUCACGUUUAUUCUUUUGGCCGAUGAUUGAUUGAUUUUUAACCAAGUGAGGCAGAAUCCAAUCCAGGCAUGAAGACCUGAGAAGUCAGCCAGGACAAAUAUUGGAGGCUUAUACCGUUUGUUUGUUUAUUUAUUUAUUUUUCUCCCCUUCAGAUCGAGUACAAGUCUGUUUUUGGUAUUUGCUGAUUCUGAUUCCGGUACUGCUACAAAAAUGAGUAACCUACGUAGUAUAAAUCAGUCAGGGACACCACGGAACGUUUUAUUUAGCUCUGUUCACGUCCGCCCCAGUUUAAUUACGUGAGUAAAUAAACUAGGCUACUCGGCCCGUUCUUUAUUAUGGUAGCUAGUUGGAUUUUUUUUUUGCCACGGAUGGAAUAGUGUUGCACUGAAUAAGAGCAAGGUUUUGUUUCAGUCAUGUGUGGCUGCGAGUAAAGUACGCUUUAUUCUUCAUAUCCGCGUCGGAAUCCCCCGUCUAUGAACAGUAGUGGCCGAUCAUCAUGAUCAAGAGCUGUU
ensembl:lncRNA